GUGCUCAUUUCAGCAGCAUAUAUACCAAAAUUAGAACAAUAUAGAGAAGACUAGCAUGAUUCCUAUAUACAAAAGAUGACAUGCAAAUUCAUGAGGCAUUUCAUAUUUUU
ensembl:snRNA U6 U6 spliceosomal RNA